rnacentral:rRNA from 1 species
UACGGAGGGUGCAAGCGUUAUCCGGAUUCACUGGGUUUAAAGGGUGCGUAGGCGGGUUGGUAAGUCCGUGGUGAAAUCUCCAAGCUUAACUUGGAAACUGCCGUGGAUACUAUCAAUCUUGAAUAUAGUGGAGGUGAGCGGAAUAUGUCAUGUAGCGGUGAAAUGCUUAGAUAUGACAUAGAACACCCAUUGCGAAGGCAGCUCGCUACACUAUUAUUGACGCUGAGGCACGAAAGCUAGGGGAGCGAACGGG